CCGUGCCAGUCACAAAAAAAGUGGAUGGAAACUGUAUACAGGACGCCCAGAAAAUGCUCUCCGUUAUCCAAAAGACGUGUACAGAGAAUAACACAGUGGGCCAGCGCAAAGGAUUCUGCUUAGAUACCCCGUCCUGGGAGUACUUUCUGGUGCCGGAGCUGAACCCGACCACACAGACCGAAGCAGUUUGCAGGCCCAUGGUAUCUACAUGCC